rnacentral:rRNA from 1 species
UGGCUCAGGACGAACGCUGGCGGCGUGCCUAACACAUGCAAGUCGAACGAGGUCGCCUUCGGGCAAUGACCAAGUGGCGAACGGGUGCGUAACACGUGAGGAACCUGCCCCGAAGACUGGGACAACCACGGGAAACUGUGGCUAAUACCAGAUGCCCUCCGCUGAUCGCAUGAUCGGCAGAGGAAAUGCUCCGGCGCUUCGGGAGGGCCUCGCGGCCUAUCAGCUUGUUGGCGAGGUAACGGCUCACCAAGGCAUCGACGGGUAGCUGGUCUGAGAGGACGAUCAGCCACACUGGGACUGAGACACGGCCCAGACUCCUGCGGGAGGCAGCAGUGGGGAAUCUUGCGCAAUGGGCGAAAGCCUGACGCAGCAACGCCGCGUGGGGGAUGAAGGCUCUCGGGUUGUAAACCCCUUUCAGCAGGGACGAAAUUGACGGUACCUGAAGAAGAAGCCCCGGCCAACUACGUGCCAGCAGCCGCGGUGACACGUAGGGGGCGAGCGUUGUCCGGAAUUAUUGGGCGUAAAGAGCUCGUAGGCGGUUUAGUAAGUCAGAUGUGAAAGGUUGGGGCUCAACCCUAAGACUGCAUCCGAUACUGCUAUGACUAGAGUCCGGGUAGAAGGAGUG